AGGGGAGUGAAAGAGAACUUGAAACCGUGUGCUUACAAGUAGUCAGAGCCCGUUAAUGGGUGAUGGCGUGCCUUUUGUAGAAUGAACCGGCGAGUUACGAUCUGAUGCAAGGUUAAGCAGAAAAUGUGGAGCCGUAGCGAAAGCGAGUCUGAAUAGGGCGAAUGAGUAUUUGGUCGUAGACCCGAAACCAGGUGAUCUACCCUUGGUCAGGUUGAAGUUCAGGUAACACUGAAUGGAGGACCGAACCGACUUACGUUGAAAAGUGAGCGGAUGAACUGAGGGUAGCGGAGAAAUUCCAAUCGAACUUGGAGAUAGCUGGUUCUCUCCGAAAUAGCUUUAGGGCUAGCCUCAAGUGAUGAUUAUUGGAGGUAGAGCACUGUUUGGACGAGGGGCCCCUCUCGGGUUACCGAAUUCAGACAAACUCCGAAUGCCAAAUAAUUUAACUUGGGAGUCAGAAUGUGGGUGAUAAGGUCCAUAUUCGAAAGGGAAACAGCCCAGACCACCAGCUAAGGUCCCAAAAUAUAUGUUAAGUGGAAAAGGAUGUGGCGUUGCCCAGACAACUAGGAUGUUGGCUUAGAAGCAGCCAUCAUUUAAAGAGUGCGUAAUAGCUCACUAGUCGAGUGACACUGCGCCGAAAAUGUACCGGGGCUAAACAUAUUACCGAAGCUGUGGAUUGUCCUUUGGACAAUGGUAGGAGAGCGUUCUAAGGGCGUUGAAGCAUGAUCGCAAGGACAUGUGGAGCGCUUAGAAGUGAGAAUGCCGGUGUGAGUAGCGAAAGACGGGUGAGAAUCCCGUCCACCGAUUGACUAAGGUUUCCAGAGGAAGGCUCGUCCGCUCUGGGUUAGUCGGGUCCUAAGCUGAGGCCGACAGGCGUAGGCGAUGGAUAACAGGUUGAUAUUCCUGUACCACCAUUAUUCGUUUUAAGCGAUGGGGGGACGCAGUAGGAUAGG
rnacentral:rRNA from 1 species